rnacentral:rRNA from 1 species
GACGAACGCUGGCGGCGUGCUUAACACAUGCAAGUCGAACGGAAAGGCCCUGCUUUUGUGGGGUGCUCGAGUGGCGAACGGGUGAGUAACACGUGAGUAACCUGCCCUUGACUCUGGGAUAACUUCAGGAAACUGCGGCUAAUACCGGAUAGGAGCUCCUGCUGCAUGGUGGGGGUUGGAAAGUUUCGGCGGUUGGGGAUGGACUCGCGGCUUAUCAGCUUGUUGGUGGGGUAGUGGCUUACCAAGGCUUUGACGGGUAGCCGGCCUGAGAGGGUGACCGGCCACAUUGGGACUGAGAUACGGCCCAGACUCCUACGGGAGGCAGCAGUGGGGAAUAUUGCACAAUGGGCGGAAGCCUGAUGCAGCAACGCCGCGUGCGGGAUAACGGCCUUCGGGUUGUAAACCGCUUUCGCCUGUGACGAAGCGUGAGUGACGGUAAUGGGUAAAGAAGCACCGGCUAACUACGUG